UGGGGAAUUUUGGACAAUGGGCGAAAGCCUGAUCCAGCAAUGCCGCGUGUGUGAAGAAGGCCUUCGGGUUGUAAAGCACUUUUGUCCGGAAAGAAAUGGCUCUGGUUAAUACCUGGGGUCGAUGACGGUACCGGAAGAAUAAGGACCGGCUAACUACGUGCCAGCAGCCGCGGUAAUACGUAGGGUCCAAGCGUUAAUCGGAAUUACUUGGCGUAAAGCGUGCGCAGGCGGUUGUGCAAGACCGAUGUGAAAUCCCCGAGCUUAACUUGGGAAUUGCAUUGGUGACUGCACGGCUAGAGUGUGUCAGAGGGGGGUAGAAUUCCACGUGUAGCAGUGAAAUGCGUAGAGAUGUGGAGGAAUACCGAUGGCGAAGGCAGCCCCCUGGGAUAACACUGACGCUCAUGCACGAAAGCGUGGGGAGCAAACAGG
rnacentral:rRNA from 1 species